UCGGAUGCUCUGAUUUACCAGCAGUUUCCUGAAGAGCCCGGGAGAGCUGCGCGGGGAAGCCCGAGGAGACCCGACUGUUUGGCCGACCUUGUCCGCUCGUGGAGACAGGCAGAGACUGGCACUUUCUCACUCCGGCCGCUAGGUGGAGAAGAUGCUGAGUAAAUGCCUCUACUGAGAGCACAUUGUGUCUACUGGCUGAUUGGUUUUUUUCCCCUUCGGCUAAGGAGAACUUCACACGAGAGACCAAAGGUGUUUCCUCAAAGGGCUAUGUAUGGGUCAAAGAUGAUGAUUUCAGAUAUCACGCUGAUCGUUAAAAAACACAGCAGAAUGGGAAAUCCUAAAAGUUCUUUUUGGUACUAAUGGGUGCGGAGGGUUUUUCCUUUUCUGUUUGUUUUUUUUGGCUGGUUAUUAUUGGCAAUACACCUGUGGAGACUCGAGUUCUAGUGGAAGGAGCCUAUACCCGCAAGUAAGCUAAAACCCAUAGAAGUAGUAGCUGCUCUCUGGGAGGUAGCCUAGAGAGGAUAUAACACUGAGGGUGUGUGUGUGUGUGUGUGUGUGUGUGUGUGUGUGUGUGUGUGUGUGUGUGUGUGUGUAGGAAUCAAGUCCCCUUCCCCCUUACAUACUUAUAAUAUCAAUUUUGUAGUAGCAAAAAACUAGAAACAAAGCAGAUGUCCAUGCUUUGGGGAAUAGCUAAGCAAGUUCUGGCACAUGAAUAUGUUGGUCUGUAUUACUAUGUUGAAAGCAAUGAUGACUAUGAUUACAGAGAAGCAUGGGAAGAUUUAUAGGAACUGAUGCAGAUUGAGGCAAGCAGAAC